rnacentral:lncRNA from 10 species
UGGGUCCUCAGCCCAACGGCCCAAAAGGAAGUGAAACCUGCCAACAGCCACCGGAUGAGUUUGGAAGUAUAUCUUGUCCCAGUUGAACCUUGUGUUGACUGUAGCCCAACUGGAGUAAUUUUCAAUGCAGCAAUAGAUAAAGAAUAUACCAGAAUGGAGCUACCACAUGGUCAGGAGGAAGAGACUCACAAAGAAAGAUGAAGGUUGCAGAGAGGUGCUAUGGAAAUAGCACAUGCUAAAGGAGUCUUCUAAGCAGCCCAGAGGCGAUGACAUACCAGUGCCAGCAGAGGAGGAGAACCACGCUUCAGUAUAACAAAAACUUCAAUGAAUCAUGCUCAAUGUGGAAAAGUCGAAUAGACAUGGCUGAGGAUAAAAGAAAAGAACGUACACAUAAUCUCACUACCCAGAGAGAAGCAAUGUUGACAUAUUUCUCUUCCUCAAUGCAUAUUUAUAUAUUGUUGAUAUUUUUA